GACGAACGCUGGCGGCGUGCCUAAUACAUGCAAGUCGAACGCUUUUUCUUUCACCGGAGCUUGCUCCAUCGAAAGAAAAAGAGUGGCGAACGGGUGAGUAACACGUGGGUAACCUGCCCAUCAGAAGGGGAUAACACUUGGAAACAGGUGCUAAUACCGUAUAACACUAUUUUCCGCAUGGAAGUAAGUUGAAAGGCGCUUUUGCGUCACUGAUGGAUGGACCCGCGGUGCAUUAGCUAGUUGGGGAGGUAACGGCUCACCGAGGCAACGAUGCAUAGCCGACCUGAGAGGGUGAUCGGCCACACUGGGACUGAGACACGGCCCAGACUCCUACGGGAGGCAGCAGUAGGGAAUCUUCGGCAAUGGACGAAAGUCUGACCGAGCAACGCCGCGUGAGUGAAGAAGGUUUUCGGAUCGUAAAACUCUGUUGUUAGAGAAGAACAAGGAUGAGAGUAAAAUGUUCAUCCCUUGACGGUAUCUAACCAGAAAGCCACGGCUAACUACGUGCCAGCCGCCGCUGUAA
rnacentral:rRNA from 1 species